rnacentral:rRNA from 1 species
ACGGGUGAGUAACACGUGGGUGAUCUGCCCUGUACUUCGGGAUAAGCUUGGGAAACUGGGUCUAAUACCGGAUAGGACCAUGGUUUAGUGUCUCAUGGUGGAAAAAUUAUUGUUUUGGUGCAGGAUGAGCUCGCGGCCUAUCAGCUUGUUGGUGGGGUAAUGGCCUACCAAGGCGUCGACGGGUAGCCGGCCUGAGAGGGUGGACGGCCACAUUGGGACUGAGAUACGGCCCAGACUCCUACGGGAGGCAGCAGUGGGGAAUAUUGCACAAUGGGCGCAAGCCUGAUGCAGCGACGCCGCGUGGGGGAUGACGGCCUUCGGGUUGUAAACUCCUUUCGUUAGGGACGAAGCCACACUUUUUGGGUGUGGUGACGGUACCUUUGUUAAGAAGCACCGGCUAACUACGUGCCAGCAGCCGCGGUAAUACGUAAGGUGCGAGCGUUGUCCGGAAUUACUGGGCGUAAAGAGCUCGUAGGUGGUUUGUUGCGUCUUCUGUGAAAUUCCGGGGCUUAACUUCGGCGUGCCGGGAGUUGCGGGCAUAACUAGAUUGCUGUAGGGAAUACAGAGAAUUCCUGCUAUUCCCCGUGGAAUACGUAAAAUUCUUGAGGAACUACGAAUGACCCCGGCAGGUCUCCCCGGC